AUUGAACGCUGGCGGCAGGCCUAACACAUGCAAGUCGAGCGGAUGAAGGGAGCUUGCUCCUGGAUUCAGCGGCGGACGGGUGAGUAAUGCCUAGGAAUCUGCCUGGUAGUGGGGGAUAACGUCCGGAAACGGGCGCUAAUACCGCAUACGUCCUGAGGGAGAAAGUGGGGGAUCUUCGGACCUCACGCUAUCAGAUGAGCCUAGGUCGGAUUAGCUAGUUGGUGGGGUAAAGGCCUACCAAGGCGACGAUCCGUAACUGGUCUGAGAGGAUGAUCAGUCACACUGGAACUGAGACACGGUCCAGACUCCUACGGGAGGCAGCAGUGGGGAAUAUUGGACAAUGGGCGAAAGCCUGAUCCAGCCAUGCCGCGUGUGUGAAGAAGGUCUUCGGAUUGUAAAGCACUUUAAGUUGGGAGGAAGGGCAGUAAGUUACUACCUUGCUGUUUUGACGUUACCAACAGAAUAAGCACCGGCUAACUUCGU
rnacentral:rRNA from 1 species